UCCUACGGGAGGCAGCAGUAGGGAAUAUUGCGCAAUGGGGGAAACCCUGACGCAGCAACGCCGCGUGGAGGAUGACACUUUUCGGAGCGUAAACUCCUUUUCUUAGGGAAGAAUUCUGACGGUACCUAAGGAAUAAGCACCGGCUAACUCCGUGCCAGCAGCCGCGGUAAUACGGAGGGUGCCAGC
rnacentral:rRNA from 1 species